CGUUGAAACAUUGCUUCUCGUUCGAUCACUGAAGUUAAGUAACGCUGAGCCUCAUCAGUACCUAAAUGGGUGACCGCUUGAGAAUAUCAAGUGCUGUAAG